UGGACUACUGGGGUAUCUAAUCCUGUUGGCUCCCCAUGCUCUCGUGCCUCAGUGUCAAUCAAGUCGUAGUAGCCUGCCUUCGCAAUCGGGGUUCUGGGUCAUAUCUAUGCAUUUCACCGCUACAUGACCCGUUCCAGCUACCGCCAACCCAUUCAAGUCCUCCAGUUUCCAGCCACAUCUGAUCGUUAAGCGACCAGCUUUCAAACCAGACUUAGAAGACCACCUACGCACCCUUUAAACCCAAUAAAUCCGGACAACGCUUGCACCCUCCGUAUUACCGCGGCGGCUGGCACG
rnacentral:misc_RNA from 1 species